GAGCAUGCAUGUGUCGGUGUGUGUUCAUCUUAGACUCCCCAGAUCGAUCUGAAACGCUCUGAGGAAAACAACACUUUCUAAGCACAGAACUAAAAGUUAAUAGAAGUAAUUAUAAAACAGGCUGAAAGGGCUGACAGAGAUCUGAAGACAUGAGAUUCCUGAGAUUCUUGGAAAUCUAAUAAUUUGGUGUCAGAAGUGCAAGUACUCCGGAUCAGGUGUUGCAGCCAUGAAGAAGUCAUCCAGAUCAAUCACACGCCCUCGGUCAUCAGACCCAACUGAAUUUAAACAUUUCAGCCCAGCACAUGCAGAUGUGAUCGAGAACUUGCAAAUGCCUUGGUGGAAGAGUGGCGUAACAUCUCACAGCAAGAACUGACAAAUCUGGUGCAGUCCAUGAGGAUGAGAUACACUGUAGUAUUUAAAGCAGCUGGAGGCUUCACCAAAUACUGACUGUUACUUUUAAUUUUGAACCUGACUUUGUUCAGGGACUCAUUAUUCCAUUUCUGUUCAUCAAAUGGCUGUGGAACUUGUUCAGUUUAUGUCUCAUUUUUAUGUUAAUACAAAUAUUUACGCAUUUUAAAAAGUUGCUGGAAAUCAAAGCAGUUGAAUGUGAGAGGACAUUUAUUUUUUGCUGAGUAUAUAUUUCCCAUGGUGACCCCUGUCCUCCACCAAGGAACCUACAAUGGGCACAUGAGCAUUAAAACUUGACCAUGGAGCAAUGGAAGAAGGUGGCCUGGUCUGAUAAAUCCUAUUUUCUAUUACAUCAUGUGGACAACUGGGUGUGUGUGCAUCAGCUACCAGGGGAAGAGAUGGCACCAGGAUGCACUAUGGGAAGAAGGUAAGCCGGCGGAGGUAGUGUGAUGCCCUGGGCAAUGUUCUGCUGGGAAACCUUGGGUCCUGGCAUUCAUGUGGAUGUUACUUUGACAUGUACCACCUACCUAA